rnacentral:rRNA from 1 species
AGAGCGAACGCUGGCGGCAGGCCUAACACAUGCAAGUCGAGCGCUCCGCAAGGGGAGCGGCAGACGGGAGAGUAACACGUGGGAACGUACCCUUCAGUUCGGAAUAACCCAGGGAAACUUGGGCUAAUACCGAAUACGUCCGUAAGGAGAAAGAUUUAUCGCUGAAGGAUCGGCCCGCGUCUGAUUAGCUUGUUGGUGAGGUGACGGCUCACCAAGGCGACGAUCAGUAGCUGGUCUGAGAGGAUGAUCAGCCUCACUGGGACUGAGACACGGCCCAGACUCCUACGGGAGGCAGCAGUGGGAAUAUUGGACAAUGGGCGCAAGCCUGAUCCAGCCAUGCCGCGUGGGUGAUGAAGGCCCUAGGGUUGUAAAGCCCUUUCGGCGGGAAGAUAAUGACGGUACCGCAGAAGAAGCCCGGCUAACUUCGCGCCAGCAGCCGC